GACGUAGGGCGCGAGCGUUGUCCGGAUUUAUUGGGCGUAAAGAGCGCGUAGGCGGCUUGGUAAGUCGGACGUGAAAACCCGAGGCUCAACCUCGAGACGCCGGUGGAAACCGUAAAGCUAGAGUCCGGAAGAGGAGAGUGGAAUUCCUGGUGUAGCGGUGAAAUGCGCAGAUAUCAGGAAGAACACCCGUGGCGAAGGCGGCUCUCUGGGACGGUACUGACGCUGAGACGCGAAAGCGUGGGGAGCGAACAGG
rnacentral:rRNA from 1 species